GACGAACGCUGGCGGCGUGCUUAACACAUGCAAGUCGAACGGAAAGGCCCUGCUUUUGUGGGGUGCUCGAGUGGCGAACGGGUGAGUAACACGUGAGUAACCUGCCCUUGACUUUGGGAUAACUUCAGGAAACUGGGGCUAAUACCGGAUAGGAGCUCCUGCUGCAUGGUGGGGGUUGGAAAGUUUCGGCGGUUGGGGAUGGACUCGCGGCUUAUCAGCUUGUUGGGGGGGUAGUGGCUUACCAAGGGUUUGACGGGUAGCCGGCCUGAGAGGGUGACCGGCCACAUUGGGACUGCGAUACGGCCCAGACUGCUACGGGAGGCAGCAGUGGGGAAUAUUGCACAAUGGGCGGAAGCCUGAUGCAGCGACGCCGCGUGCGGGAUGACGGCCUUCGGGUUGUGAACCGCUUUCGCCUGUGACGAAGCGUGAGUGACGGUAAUGGGUAAAGAAGCACCGGCUAACUACGUG
rnacentral:rRNA from 1 species